UAACGUGAGACAGUUAUCAAAAGUGUAUGUGGUAUUUUGAGAUGUUUCAAAGAAUAUGUGGUAAUCCGAGACAACUUUGAACGCACAUGGACCAUGUACAUAAAUAAGCCUUAUUUUUAUAAUACUCUUUUAUUAUUCAUAACUGAAUUCUUUUUUUGGUAAAUUGCUUACAUCUAUCCCACAAACCACCUUUUUAGUUUUUCAUGACUAGGCAAGGAGACAUUAUAGAUGCAUUUUAAUUUCGAAUUCUAUGGUCUCUACAAUUCAAAGUUUGCUUGAUUAAAAAAUGUCUAUAUCCUUUAAAAAAAAAAAAAAACCUCUAUGAAGAAACUAUGCCUGCCAACAUUGUCAAUGGUAAUUUGAAUGAAGGUGAAUUGUUGGGGUUGGAGUUAGAAAAGUCCACAACAGACAUAAAAUUUAAUUGAGGUAAGAAAUAAUAAGGUAAAUUAGUUAUGCUAAUGAAAGAGAAGGGAAAAACACAUUUGAGACUUCAAAAAAAAAAAAAAAAGGACAAAUGUCAAUUUAUGGUUGAGUCACAUUACUGGUAGGAGGAGUUCAUUUUUAUGAGUAAGGAGUGAAGUAUUGUCCUAAAAUAAAAUGAUGUAACAAAAGAUAGACAGUCUAUCUAACAAUGACACCCAGUAAGUUACUAUUCAAGAGUAAUAUCCAUGGUUAUGGUCUACACAUGGAUGUUACAUUUAAAUGGACCGGCAUAUGUUGAAAGUUAAAAAAAGGACUCGGCAUAUCAAUUUGUUUCCUCCACUCACACUGGAAAGGUAUAUUUUCAAUUGAUUGUAUUAAUUUAACAAUUCAAGGUUAGAAAGGGACUUUAAAAUCGUUUUCUCAUAAUUUUUUAGUUUUUAAGUUUUAUUAACUUAAUAAAUAUUUUUAUAUCUUAAAUUUGUCCAUCCACGUGGCGCAAUAUGAGUGGAUCUUUAUGGACC
rnacentral:lncRNA from 1 species